AGGAUGAACGCUGGGCGGCGUGCCUAACACAUGCAAGUCGAGCGGAGAUAAGUUGAAGCCUAGCGAUUCUUAUCUUAGCGGCGGAUGGGUGAGUAACACGUGGGUAACCUGCCCUGUACUGGGGAAUAACAGCUGGAAACGGCUGUUAAUGCCGCAUAUGCGCACGGAGCCGCAUGACUCUGGGCGGAAAGAUUUAUCGGUACAGGAUGGGCCCGCGACGGAUUAACUAGUUGGCGGGGUAACGGCCCACCAAGGUGAUGAUCCGUAGCCGACCUGAGAGGGUGACCGGCCACAUUGGGACUGAGACACGGCCCAAACUCCUACGGGAGGCAGCAGUGGGGGAUAUUGCACAAUGGGGGAAACCCUGAAUGCAGCGACGCCGCGUGAAGGAUGACGUAUUUCGGUAUGUAAACUUCUAUCAGCGGGGAAGAAGAUGACGGUACCCGACUAAGAAGCCCCGGCUAACUACGUGCCAGCCGCCGC
rnacentral:rRNA from 1 species